rnacentral:rRNA from 1 species
GCGCAGCAGGCGAGAAUCCUCCGCAAUGCGGGAAACCGCGACGGGGUCACCCCGAGUGCCGCCCUAACGGGUGGCUGUGGCCCGGUGUAAACAGCCGGGCUUAGAAAGGGGAGGGCAAGGCUGGUGCCAGCCGCCGCGGUAAAACCAGCUCCUCGAGUGGUCGGGGUGAUUAUUGGGCCUAAAAGCGUCCGUAGCCGGCCCCGUAAGUCCUCGGUUAAAAUCCUACGGCCUAACCGUGGGACUGCCGAGGAUACUGCGGGGCUUGGGGGCGGGAGAGGCCGGGGGUACUCCCCGGGGGUAGGGGUGAAAGUCCUGU